rnacentral:rRNA from 1 species
CUCGUAGGCGGUUUGUUGCGUCGGGAGUGAAAACCCAGGGCUUAACUCUGGGCUUGCUUUCGAUACGGGCAGACUUGAGGUAUUCAGGGGAGAACGGAAUUCCUGGUGUAGCGGUGAAAUGCGCAGAUAUCAGGAGGAACACCGGUGGCGAAGGCGGUUCUCUGGGAAUUACCUGACGCUGAGGAGCGAAAGUGUGGGGAGCGAAACA